GGUCUUCCAGAUCCGGGUCAUGGAUAACGUUAUUCUCCUUCCUCCCGUUUCCCAGUGCUGUGCACUCUGCAUGGCUUGGGAUUUCUGAUCAUUGAGGAUCCAGUCCGGAUGGCGAUGAGACCCAGUGCCUGGAAGUGUGCAGCCCAUAAAUCUAUUGAAUGAAAGAAUUCCUGACUGUUCGUGAAGAGCCUUCUACUUCAUCGUAUGAUUUCCUGCAAAAAUCACCCGUGUAGACGAGAGGCAGGCGUGAGCAUUAUUUACAUCUUAGAGAAGUGGAAACGAGAGCCUCAAGAAACGACACGUUUGGAGCCAUUCCAGGCAACCCAUCAUGAGCAAGACCACAAAGCUCGUGUUUUUCAGAAUCCCACUCCUGGGCGUCAUCCAUUAAAGAUCGUGAUCUCCGCACUGUAAUGAAGCCCUCUUCCUCUAGCGGCACGGCCCAGUGGGUGCCUGGUGCUCAUUUGUUGAAGCUGACAAUGAUGAUGGUGAUAAUGAUCAUCAUCUGGGAUGAGCAAAUGGUCCCCAGUCCUACUGUGCUGGCCCCACUCCAAUGCCGGCGUCCUUCUAAGAAGAGGGAAAUUUGGACACAGAUGCAAAGGGGAGAAAGUCCCGUAAUGACAGAGGCAGAGACUGGAGUGUGGCAUGUACAAGCCAAAGAAUGCCAAGGGUUUCCAGCAGCUGUGGGCAACGGGGAAGGAGGCUCAGAACAGAUUUCUCUUCAGCAUCCAGAAGGAACAAACCCCGCUGGCACCAGGUGUCCAGAACCAUGACCCAAUAGACUCCUGUUGUUUUAAGCCACCCAGUUUGUGGCGAUUUGUGCCUGCAGCCCUAGUAACCAAGACAGCUUAUCGACCAUUCUUGGACUUGCAUACGAAAGAGAAGCUCUCAGAUUGAAGAGUCCAGAGAAGUUGGGGGAACACAUAGAAUGCAUUCUCAUGGACCUCCCAUCCAGACCCCCUGCACUGAUCCUCACUGCAGACCCCGGUCUUUGACCAGGAGCCACCAAAGAAGACCAGAGCACUCCUUGUGCCUCGCUGCUCACAGCCUGUCAAGUCCGUGCCAACACGGUAAGUCAGCAUGGGGUCUGAACUCUGCUGUCUUUGCGCUGAAUUUCUCA